rnacentral:misc_RNA from 1 species
GAUCCGCUUGUUUUGACUUCCAACCAGCGUCGGCACACCCACUGGACUGCUGCUCUCCUGCUGUAACACGCACGCAAGCUCACACUCUGAGAAAGCUGGACGGACACCCGUCAAAGCCCCCCUUCCGGCUUCCUUAGCCCACCCAACAGCCACUGCUGCUAUUCAACACCCACAGCACCUUAUUUCUGACAGACGCACCCUCACGCACCACCACAUACAGGGCAAUCACCCGCACACAUACCGCGAAGCGAUCCGCUGAGCCAGCGAGCAACAGCAGCGCGACACCGUCAGCGCAGAAACGCCGCCUGUGGUAGAGGUACCGAGACACGUUACGCACGCACUCGCCUCUUCGCUUGUUGCUCAGCUGGCCGCGCAUACGCGUACAACUCCACGUGCUGCUUGACGCCCGUGCGCGUGUGCGGGAUUCAGUUUUCCCCUUUCGGUGCGCCAAGUCAUUGCUUCCAGCCCUUUGCUGGACUCGCUUCCGGCUUCUGCUGUUCUCCUCUCUCUUUCAGGGUAUUGUGCGGAUAGGCGCACGCACCGCCCCUCCCCAGCAGCCCCCAACUCCCGUCCUUCUGCUGUGCCCCGAUCCUCUUACUACUUGCUUGCGAAAGCCAUGGAGUCGAGUAUGAGCACCGGCGAUCUUCUAACACCCGGCGCAUUGUGGCAGGACGACGCCAACGUCUUCGUAUGCAGCGGCCGCCGUUGUGGCCGCCGCUUCAACCGGCUCUUCUGCCCCAAGCACCACUGUCGAUGGUGCGGUCGUGUGUACUGCGACGCCUGCGCGCCGAAGCAGACGAUAUACAAGCGCCAGCUGCUGCGCAAGUGCAACCGGUGUCGACUGCCGGCUGUCUUCCGGCACUCGUGGAACGCGCGCACGCGAGGGAUGGACUGCACCCCGUUCGAGUGUAUCAUUUCCUACUUGACACCGCGCAGCAUCACGGCGCUCCUGCAGAGCUGCCACACGAUGAUGUCCGAGUUUCCCGUGUGCGGUUACCCGUUCUACGAUUCUAUUCAGCAGCGCUUCCCCUCCUUCUACCCCGGUGCGCAGAUCGGCCGCGGCACCUUCGGCACGGUGUUCAAGUGCGAAGACCGCUCCGCAGCGGAUCACAAGCGUGCCAUUCUCAAGUGCAUCAGCAAAGCCACGAACUUGACGUACACGCGGUGGAUGGGCGCCCUCACGGAGCUGCGUAUACUGGAGUCGGUGAACCACCCCAACGUGGCGCACCUUUUGGGUGCCUUUCAGACACGCGAAGACUUGGUAAUUGUGAUGGAGGCCGGCGAGGGCGGAACGGCGCGUCGGGCGGCUGCCUGCGUGCGCGAGUACGGCCAAGCCGCCGAGGAGGCAUUCACGGCGAACAUUAUAGAAGGUGUCGCCUCGGGCCUGGACUACCUCUACCGGGAGAAGCACAUCAUCCAUCGCGACAUUAAGCUGGACAACAUAGUCUUGUCGGCGGACUACAGCACGCCCAUGAUCAUCGACUUUGGCCUUGCCGAGUUUGUCGUGAACGAGGAGGAGCAGUGGUACGUUGUCGGCGGGACCCGCAACUACGCCGCGCCAGAGAGCAUCGCUGCGGUAGCUAACGGGCACGUUGAUAUGAGGGAGCCCGGCAUCACGAUGCACAAGGGCGACCUCUUCAGUCUCGGCGUCGUCGCUUACUACCUUCUUUCGGGCCACCGGCCGUUCCGCAGCAGGAGCUUUGACAAGAUGCACGAGGAAAUGCGGCGCGGGGUCGCCUGCACUGGCCCGCUCUGGGACGGUGUCUCCAGCGACGCACGGGAGCUCGUGCAGGCGCUCCUGUCGUACGACCCGGCGCAGCGGCCCGACUACGCCGCCAUCAAGGAGAACCCCUUCAUCAUGGCGCGCGCCGCGGGCGUGAAGUCGAUUCAGAUGCAGCGGAACGCGCGGCUACUCUUGGACGAGGAGGAGACCCACGCCGAGUGGGUGACGCUCGAGCCGUCGGACCUGCGGGAGGCGGUGGACGAGGGGGAGAGUGAGGUGUUGCUACCGCUGUCGACUCCCCAGCGGUGGUACCACGCCUACCUGCCUCGCUUCUCGCUGCUCCACUUGUGAGCCACGCCCGUCCUGCGUUUCUUUCGUGUUUUUUUUUCUCGGGCUUCCGUUGCGGUGGCUGCGGUGCUGCGAUCAUCCCGUCUCCCUUCUGUUCUGGAUGCUUUGUAUUGCUUG